AGUCACAAUAAUAGGUACUUAAAAACAUGUCAUAUGAUAGGAAACUAGAAUAACACACCUCUAAAUAAUCCAUGGAUUACCAACUUCUCAGCAAUGUGUGUAAUUCUUCUGCUAAAUAACCCGUGGGUUAAAGAGGACAUCACAAUGGAAAUUCCAGAGUACUUAAAAUAAGUCAGAUAAAUAUGAUGCACGUGAUGUUGAAAGGCUACAACAAGAUGAUAACUGGGUUGAAAGUUACUUAUCUUGGAGACAUAAUAUUAUAGAUGAAACACUGAAGAUGCUCGAUGAGAGUUUUCAGUGGAGGAAAGAAAUUUCUGUCAAUGACCUUAAUGAAUCCUCCAUUCCCAGAUGGUUAUUGGAAAUUGGUGUUAUUUAUCUCCAUGGUUAUGACAAAGAAGGUAACAAAUUGUUCUGGAUCAGGGUGAAGUAUCAUGUAAAAGACCAGAAAACCAUAUUGGACAAAAAGAAGCUCAUAGCAUUCUGGUUGGAACGUUAUGCUAAGAGGGAAAAUGGGAAACCUGUAACAGUGAUGUUUGACCUGUCAGAAACUGGAAUAAAUAGCAUUGACAUGGACUUUGUACGCUUUAUCAUCAACUGCUUUAAGGUUUAUUACCCUAAAUACCUCUCAAAAAUAGUGAUCUUUGAUAUGCCUUGGUUAAUGAAUGCUGCUUUCAAAAUUGUGAAAACCUGGCUUGGUCCAGAAGCAGUGAGCUUGUUGAAGUUUACAAGCAAAAAUGAAGUCCAGGACUAUGUCAGUGUAGAAUACCUGCCUCCCCACAUGGGUGGAACUGAUCCUUUCAAGUAUAGCUAUCCACCACUAGUAGAUGAUGACUUCCAGACCCCAUUGUGUGAGAAUGGGCCUAUUACCAGUGAGGAUGAAACUUCAAGUAAAGAAGACAUAGAAAGUGAUGGCAAAGAAACAUUGGAAACAAUUUCUAAUGAAGAACAAACACCUCUUCUUAAAAAGAUUAACCCAACCGAAUCUACUUCCAAAGCAGAAGAAAAUGAAAAAGUUGAUUCAAAAAUGAAAGCUUUCAAGAAACCAUUGAGUGUAUUUAAAGGGCCCUUACUACACAUCAGCCCAGCAGAAGAACUGUACUUUGGAAGUACAGAAUCCGGAGAGAAGAAAACCUUAAUAGUGUUGACAAAUGUAACUAAAAAUAUAGUGGCAUUUAAGGUGAGAACAACAGCUCCAGAAAAAUACAGAGUCAAGCCAAGCAAUAGCAGCUGUGACCCGGGCGCAUCAGUGGAUAUAGUUGUGUCUCCCCAUGGGGGUUUCACAGUCUCUGCCCAAGACCGUUUUCUGAUAAUGGCUGCAGAAAUGGAACAGUCAUCUGGCACAGGCCCAGCAGAAUUAACUCAGUUUUGGAAAGAAGUUCCCAGAAACAAAGUGAUGGAACAUAGGUUAAGAUGCCAUACUGUUGAAAGCAGUAAACCAAACACUCUUACGUUAAAAGACAAUGCUUUCAACAUGUCAGAUAAAACCAGUGAAGAUAUAUGUCUACAACUCAGUCGUUUACUAGAAAGCAAUAGGAAGCUUGAAGACCAAGUUCAGCGUUGUAUCUGGUUCCAGCAGCUGCUGCUUUCCUUAACAAUGCUCUUGCUUGCUUUUGUCACCUCUUUCUUCUAUUUAUUGUACAGUUAAAGAAGUGGUGCCGGGUAGGAACCACGGUUCCUUCGUCCAUUAGUUGGAAAAAGUAACAGACCUAAAACUCUACCAAGCUACUAAAAACAUUGCACAUCUGUGCUUCCUAAAAGGAAAUAUGCAGCACGUGGAGGGGAACACAUACAUGUCUUGAAAAUAAACUGCUAGAAUAAAGAAAUGCUGGAGAAAUUGA
rnacentral:sRNA from 1 species